AUGAACGCUGGCGGCGUGCCUAACACAUGCAAGUCGAACGGAGUCCAGCCUUUAAGACCUUCGGGUCAAAGAGGGGAAGACUGAGUGGCGGACGGGUGAGUAACACGUGGGCAACCUGGCUCAUAGAGGGGGAUAACAGAGAGAAAUUUCUGCUAAUACCGCAUAAGCACACACUGCCGCAUGGCAGAGGGUGAAAAGAGAAUCGCUAUGAGAUGGACCCGCGUCUGAUUAGCCAGUUGGCAGGGUAAGAGCCUACCAAAGCGACGAUCAGUAGCCGAUCUGAGAGGAUGAACGGCCACAUUGGGACUGAGACACGGCCCAGACUCCUACGGGAGGCAGCAGUGGGGGAUAUUGCACAAUGGGGGGAACCCUGAUGCAGCGACGCCGCGUGAGUGAAGAAGUAUUUCGGUAUGUAAAGCUCUAUCAGCAGGGAAGAUAAUGACAGUACCUGAAUAAGAAGCCCCGGCUAACUACGUG
rnacentral:rRNA from 1 species